AAACUUAAAGGAAUUGACGGGGGCCCGCACAAGCGGCGGAGCAUGUGGAUUAAUUCGAUGCAACGCGAAGAACCUUACCUGGGCUUGACAUACACCAGAUCGGCGCAGAGAUGCGUUUUUCCCUUGUGGUUGGUGUACAGGUGGUGCAUGGUUGUCGUCAGCUCGUGUCGUGAGAUGUUGGGUUAAGUCCCGCAACGAGCGCAACCCUUGUCUUAUGUUGCCAGCACGUGAUGGUGGGGACUCAUGAGAGACUGCCGGGGUUAACUCGGAGGAAGGUGGGGAUGGCGUCAAAUCAUCAUGCCCCUUAUGUCCAGGGCUUCACACAUGCUACAAUGGUCGGUACAACGCGUGUGCGACACUGUGAGGUGAAGCUAAUCGCUCUAAAGCCGGUCGUAGUUCGGAUUGGGGUCUGCAACUCGACCCCAUGAAGUCGGAGUCGCUAGUAAUCGCAGAUCAGCAACGCUGCGGUGAAUACGUUCCCGGGCCUU
rnacentral:rRNA from 1 species